GACGAACGCUGGCGGCGUGCCUAAUACAUGCAAGUCGAACGCUUUUUCUUUCACCGGAGCUUGCUCCACCGAAAGAAAAAGAGUGGCGAACGGGUGAGUAACACGUGGGUAACCUGCCCAUCAGAAGGGGAUAACACUUGGAAACAGGUGCUAAUACCGUAUAACACUAUUUUCCGCAUGGAAGAAAGUUGAAAGGCGCUUUUGCGUCACUGAUGGAUGGACCCGCAGUGCAUUAGCUAGUUGGUGAGGUAACGGCUCACCAAGGCAACGAUGCAUAGCCGACCUGAGAGGGUGAUCGGCCACACUGGGACUGAGACACGGCCCAGACUCCUACGGGAGGCAGCAGUAGGGAAUCUUCGGCAAUGGACGAAAGUCUGACCGAGCAACGCCGCGUGAGUGAAGAAGGUUUUCGGAUCGUAAAACUCUGUUGUUAGAGAAGAACAAGGAUGAGAGUAGAACGUUCAUCCCUUGACGGUAUCUAACCAGAAAGCCACGGCUAACUCUGUGCCAGCAGCCGCCGUAA
rnacentral:rRNA from 1 species